AGGUGUCAGUGUGUAUCUUCAUCUAGAUGAUGUGUUAACUAGUCAAUAAUGUCUGCUAGUCAAGAAUGGAGCGAUGCUUUAAAAGCUGGUAUGGGGCUUCAUGAUGAUUUUCCCCUAACUGGUGGUUACCAGCAUGAUGUGCAGGCUGACUUAUUA
rnacentral:sRNA from 1 species